rnacentral:rRNA from 1 species
AGGCUCGUCAAUCGAAAUGAGUACAAUUUAAAUCCUUUAACGAGUACCAAUUGGAGGGCAAGUCUGGUGCCAGCAGCCGCGGUAAUUCCAGCUCCAAUAGCGAAUAUUAAAUUUGUUGCAGUUAAAAAGCUCGUAGUUGGAUCCAAGGUUAGGCAUGCCUGUCUGUUCUUAGUAGCAUGACUGUGUGUGUCUGCCUUUAUUAGUUGAAUGUUCAUUAUGGUGGUCUUCAUCGACUGCUAUGAUGUGCUCAACACGUUUACCUUGAAAAAAUCAGAGCGAUCAAGGCAGGCCUUCGUGCUUGUAUGUUGUUGCAAGGAAUAAUAGAAUAGGACUUCGGUUCUAUUUUGUUGGUUUUGAGAAUUGAAGUAAUGAACAAUAGAGACAGUCGGGGGCAUUUGUAUGGUGGCGUUAGAGGUGAAAUUCUGAGAUCGUCGCCAGACAAACUACUGCGAAAGCAUUUGCCAAGGAUGUCUUCAUUAAUCAAGAACGAAAGUCAGAGGUUCGAAGACGAUCAGAUACCGUCCUAGUUCUGACCAUAAACGAUGCCGACCUACAAUCGGGGGUGGUUUAUUAUAUUGACCCUCCCGGCUGUCCUCAGGAAACUUUAAGUUGGUUCUGGGGGGAAUAUGGUCUCAGGACUGAAACUUAAAGGAAUUGACGGAAGGGCACCACCAGGAGUGGAGCCUGCGGCUUAAUUUGACCCAACACGGGGAAUCUCACCCGGUCCGGACACUGGUAGGAUGGACAGAUUGAUAGCUCUUUCUUGAUUCAGUGGGUGGUGGUGCAUGGCCGUUCUUAGUUGGUGGAGUGAUUUGUCUGGUUAAUUCCGAUAACGAACGAGACUCUGUCCUGCUAAAUAGUCCAGUGGCAUCAAUCACUAUGUGAUUACAGCUGCUGUUACUUCUUAGAGGGAUUCGCGGAUUUAAACCGCAAGAAAUAGAGCAAUAACAGGUCUGUGAUGCCCUUAGAUGUCCGGGGCCGCACGCGCGCUACAUUGACAGUAGAAGCGAGUAUUUCUACCUGGUUCGAAAGAAUUGGGAAAUCUUCGAAUUACUGUCUCCACAGGGAUUGAGGUUUGCAAUUUUGCCUCAUGAACGAGGAAUUCCCAGUAGGCGCAAGUCAUCAGCUUGCGUCGAUUACGUCCCUGCCCUUUGUACACACCGCCCGUCGCUACUACCGAUUGAGUGCAUUAGUGAGGACCUCGGAUUGAGAACAUAGUGGCGCAAGUUACUUUGUUUUCGAAAAGUGGUUCAAAUUUGUGCAUUUAGAGAUAGUAAAAGUCGU